rnacentral:rRNA from 1 species
AGCAGUCGCCGCGGUAAUACGGGGGGUGCAAGCGUUAAUCGGAAUUAUUGGGCGUAAAGCGUGCGUAGGCGGUUCGUUAAGUCUGUUGUGAAAGCCCCGGGCUCAACCUGGGAAUGGCAAUGGAUACUGGCGAGCUAGAGUGUGUCAGAGGAUGGUGGAAUUCCCGGUGGAGCGGUGAAAUGCGUUGAGAUCGGAAAGAACACCAACGGUGAAAGCACUCUGCUGGGCCGACACUGACACUGAGAGACGAAAGCUAGGGGAGCAAAUGGGAUUAGAUACCCCGGUAGUCCCUGUCUCUUAUAC